UGUGUAGGCGGUCGUAUUAGUCUUUUGUAAAAGCUCCCUGGCUUAACCUGGGAAAUGCGGGAGAAACGGUACGACUUAGAGGAUGCGAGAGGUAAAGGGAACUCACAGUGUAGGGGUGAAAUCCGCUGAUAUUGUGGGGAACACCAAAUGCGAAGGCACUUUACUGGCGCACUCCUGACGCUGAAACACGAAAGCGUGGGAAUCGAAC
rnacentral:rRNA from 1 species